rnacentral:lncRNA from 1 species
UUUCAAAACAGAAGUGGCAUUUUUAUCAUUCAAAAUUUUAAACAAAAAAAGUAAAAUUAUGAAUAUUAAAUAUAUAUUUAAAUAUGGUUAGAUAGUGUACUUCAUAUCAAUUUUAUUGCACUAUACAUGUGCAUAAAGGCUUCCUCGUUCCCAAAAAUCAAAACUUAAUUUUGAAAGACAGAGUACUUUACACUAAAAGCAAGGAAAAAGGAGGGGA